UACGAAGGGGGCUAGCGUUGCUCGGAAUCACUGGGCGUAAAGCGCACGUAGGCGGAUCGUUAAGUCAGGGGUGAAAUCCUGGAGCUCAACUCCAGAACUGCCUUUGAUACUGGCGGCCUUGAGUUCGGGAGAGGUGAGUGGAACUGCGAGUGUAGAGGUGAAAUUCGUAGAUAUUCGCAAGAACACCAGUGGCGAAGGCGGCUCACUGGCCCGAUACUGACGCUGAGGUGCGAAAGCGUGGGGAGCAAACAGG
rnacentral:rRNA from 1 species